UUCCUAAAGUGAUUUUGGUUUCAGAAAUCUGAUUUAUUCUCUCAGAAUCACACAUAACAUUCUCAGCUCCGAGAGAGUGUGCGCAUCACUUUAGAAAGAACUCUUGACUGGAAAGCAGUAGAUGUAGGUUCAAGUUUAGUUCCCCAGUUUGGUAGGUGAGGGGAACCCCUCCUCUGUCAUGUGAGAGAGAAACACCUUGUCCAUCCGCACCUACAGAGUUGCAUGGAUCUACGCUGGACAUAGCUCAAAAACAAUGCAUGAGAAAGAAUAGAAAGAGCAUUGGACAUGGAGCCUCUGUAGGGCUGAAUUCCUGCUCACCACUUACUCCUGAUACUGGGAAGAUUUUCAACGUCUCCAAGACUGGGGUUUUUCAUUUGCAAAAGGUCCCCAACGCUUGGAGUGUAACUUGAGUGGAGUACCUGUUUUCCUUUACUUCUCCCACCUAGACCUGAGUGCUUCUGGCCCUGAAACAUGUGCAAAUUCAUCACAUGCUGGAGAGCUACGAUGCACCUUCUCUGCCCCAGCUAGACCUCCUAUUUGCAUGGUGGUUUUUAGUUUCAAAGCUCUUUCAAUAGUAUUGCCUCAUUUAAUCCUCCUAC
rnacentral:lncRNA from 10 species